UACAGGGGGGGCAAGCGUUGUUCGGAAUUACUGGGCGUAAAGGGCUCGUAGGCGGCCAACUAAGUCGGAUGUGAAAUCCCCAGGCUCAACUUGGGAACUGCAUCCGAUACUGGAUGGCUUGAAUCCGGGAGAGGGAUGCAGAAUUCCAGGUGUAGCGGUGAAAUGCGUAGAUAUCUGGAGGAAUACCGGUGGCGAAGGCGGCAUCCUGGACCGGCAUUGACGCUGAUGAGCGAAAGCUAGGGGAGCAAACGGG
rnacentral:rRNA from 1 species